GGGCCCGCACAAGCAGCGGAGCGUGUUGCUUAAUUCGAUGCAACGCGAAGAACCUUACCUGGGUUUGACAUGUAGGGAAAAGCUCUAGAGAUAGGGUGUCCUUCGGGGCCUUACACAGGUGGUGCAUGGCUGUCGUCAGUUCGUGUCGUGAGAUGUUGGGUUAAGUCCCGCAACGAGCGCAACCCUUAUCCUAUGUUGCCAGCAUUUAGUUGGGGACUCGUAGGAGACUGCCGGGGUCAACUCGGAGGAAGGUGGGGAUGACGUCAAGUCAUCAUGCCCCUUAUGCCCAGGGCUGCAAACACGCUACAAUGGCUGGUACAGAGGGCUGCGAACCCGCGAGGGCAAGCGAAUCCCAUAAAGCCAGUCUCAGUUCGGAUUGGAGUCUGCAACUCGACUCCAUGAAGCUGGAGUUGCUAGUAAUCGCAAAUC
rnacentral:rRNA from 1 species